GAUGAACGCUGGCGGCGUGCCUAAUACAUGCAAGUCGAGCGAACAGACGAGGAGCUUGCUCCUCUGACGUUAGCGGCGGACGGGUGAGUAACACGUGGAUAACCUACCUAUAAGACUGGGAUAACUUCGGGAAACCGGAGCUAAUACCGGAUAAUAUAUUGAACCGCAUGGUUCAAUAGUGAAAGACGGUUUUGCUGUCACUUAUAGAUGGAUCCGCGCCGCAUUAGCAAGUUGGUAAGGUAACGGCUUACCAAGGCAACGAUGCGUAGCCGACCUGAGAGGGUGAUCGGCCACACUGGAACUGAGACACGGUCCAGACUCCUACGGGAGGCAGCAGUAGGGAAUCUUCCGCAAUGGGCGAAAGCCUGACGGAGCAACGCCGCGUAAGUGAUGAAGGUCUUCGGAUCGUAAAACUCUGUUAUUAGGGAAGAACAAAUGUGUAAGUAACUAUGCACGUCUUGACGGUACCUAAUCAGAAAGCCACGGCUAACUACGUG
rnacentral:rRNA from 1 species